rnacentral:rRNA from 1 species
UCAAGUUAGUAAGGGCACAUGGUGGAUGCCUUGGCACCAGGAGCCGAUGAAGGACGUGGGAGCCUGCGAUAAUCCCUGGCGAGCUGGCAACCGAGCUACGACCCGGGGGUGUCCGAAUGGGGAAACCCGGCGGCAGUCAUGUGCCGUCACCGUCACCUGAACACAUAGGGUGGUCGGAGGGAACGUGGGGAAGUGAAACAUCUCAGUACCCACAGGAAGAGAAAACAACAUGUGAUUCCGUGAGUAGUGGCGAGCGAAAGCGGAUGAGGCUAAACCGUGCGCGUGUGAUAGCCGGCAGGCGUUGCGUGUGCGGGGUUGUGGGGUUAUGUCGACUGCAUUCUGCCGAGUGUGGUCUGGAGUGAUCAAUCGCCUGCGAAGUCGAAGGACUUGAGAGGUCCGGCGUAGAGGGUGUUACCCCCGUAGACGUAAACAGGCGACUCCAGUGACGUGAUACCCGAGUAGCACGGGGCCCGAGAAAUCCCGUGUGAAUCUGGCGGGACCACCCGUUAAGCCUAAAUACUCCCUGGUGACCGAUAGCGGACAAGUACCGUGAGGGAAUGGUGAAAAGUACCCCGGGAGGGGAGUGAAAUAGUACCUGAAACCAUGUGCCUACAAGCCGUCAGAGCGGUCCUUUCGGGGGUUGUGAUGGCGUGCCUUUUGAAGAAUGAGCCUGCGAGUUAGUGGUAUGUGGCGAGGUUAACCCGUGUGGGGGAGCCGUAGCGAAAGCGAGUCCGAAUAGGGCGUUUUUAGUCGCAUGCUCUAGACCCGAAGCGGAGUGAUCUACCCAUGGGCAGGGUGAAGCGGAGGUAAGACUUCGUGGAGGCCCGAACCGACCUACGUUGAAAAGUGGGCGGAUGACCUGUGGGUAGGGGUGAAAGGCCAAUCAAACUCCGUGAUAGCUGGUUCUCCCCGAAAUGCAUUUAGGUGCAGCGUCGCGUGUUUCUUGCCGGAGGUAGAGCACUGGAUGGCAGAUGGGCCCUACAAGGUUACUGACGUCAGCCAAACUCCGAAUGCCGGUAAGUGAGAGCGCGGCAGUGAGACUGCGGGCGAUAAGGUUCGUAGUCGAGAGGGAAACAGCCCAGAUCACCAGCUAAGGCCCCUAAGCGUGUGCUAAGUGGAAAAGGAUGUGGAGUUGCGAAGACAACCAGGAGGUUGGCUUAGAAGCAGCCACCCUUGAAAGAGUGCGUAAUAGCUCACUGGUCAAGUGAUUCUGCGCCGACAAUGUAGCGGGGCUCAAGCACACCGCCGAAGCUGUGACAAUCACACAAUCAACUAAGCCUUCGUGGUUCAGGUGUGUGGUUGGGUAGGGGAGCGUCGUGUGGCGGUUGAAGCGGCGGGGUGACCCAGUCGUGGACGCUACACGAGUGAGAAUGCAGGCAUGAGUAGCGAAAGACGGGUGAGAAACCCGUCCGCCGAAUGACCAAGGGUUCCAGGGCCAGGCUAAUCCGCCCUGGGUAAGUCGGGACCUAAGGCGAGGCCGACAGGCGUAGUCGAUGGACAACGGGUUGAUAUUCCCGUACCGGUUGUGGCGCGACCAUGCCGAGCCCGGUGAUGCUAACCACCCGAACCUACCUCUUCACCCUUCGGGGUGGCUGGUGGGGGAGCGUGGGAUCCGAACCGGUAGUAGGCAAGCGAUGGGGUGACGCAGGAAGGUAGCCCAUCCCGGGCGAUGGUAGUCCCGGGGUAACAGUGCAGGGCCGUGGUAGGUAAAUCCGCCACAGUAGCGCCCGAGGCUGGAUGCCGAGCCGAUUGCGGCGAAGUGGGUGAUCCUAUGCUGUCGAGAAAAGCCUCUAGCGAGUUCCAUAGCCGCCCGUACCCCAAACCGACACAGGUGGUCAGGUAGAGAAUACCAAGGCGAUCGAGUGAACCGUGGUUAAGGAACUCGGCAAAAUGCCCCCGUAACUUCGGGAGAAGGGGGGCCCGAUACGUGAACGGACUUGCUCCGGGAGCGUUGAAGGCCGCAGAGACCAGGGGAAAGCGACUGUUUAUUAAAAACACAGGUCCAUGCGAAGUCGCAAGACGAUGUAUAUGGACUGACGCCUGCCCGGUGCUGGAACGUUAAGGGGACGAGUUAGCCUCACGGCGAAGCUCAGAACUUAAGCGCCAGUAAACGGCGGUGGUAACUAUAACCAUCCUAAGGUAGCGAAAUUCCUUGUCGGGUAAGUUCCGACCUGCACGA